rnacentral:sRNA from 1 species
ACUGCUCCGCGCCAAACGCCAUUCAGACGAGCGCGCCAAUUGGCCAGCGGCCCUCAGGGCUCUGCCCCGCCCAAUGCUAUAGGUGGCCGUCUCCCCGUGACCUCUCCUGGAGCCCCACCCAGGCCCGCUCCCACCCGCCAUUGGCUGGCCUUGCGAUACGAAGCGGCGACGAUCGCGGCCUGAAUUCCCGGCGCCGGCCCCAGCUCCAGUGCCGCUGCCGCCAUGCUCGACUUCUUCACCAUUUUCUCCAAGGGCGGGCUUGUACUCUGGUGCUUCCAGGGCGUUAGCGACUCAUGCACCGGGCCCGUUAACGCGUUGAUUCGUUCCGUGCUGCUGCAGGAACGGGGAGGUAACAACUCCUUCACCCAUGAGGCACUCACACUCAAGUAUAAACUGGACAACCAGUUUGAGCUGGUGUUUGUGGUUGGUUUUCAGAAGAUCCUGACACUGACGUAUGUAGACAAAUUGAUAGAUGACGUGCACCGGCUGUUUCGGGACAAGUACCGCACGGAGAUCCAACAGCAAAGUGCUUUAAGUUUAUUAAAUGGCACUUUUGAU